UGGGGAAUAUUGGACAAUGGGCGAAAGCCUGAUCCAGCCAUGCCGCGUGUGUGAAGAAGGUCUUCGGAUUGUAAAGCACUUUAAGUUGGGAGGAAGGGCAGUAAGCUAAUGCCUUGCUGUUUUGACGUUACCGACAGAAUAAGCACCGGCUAACUUCGUGCCAGCAGCCGCGGUAAUACGAAGGGUGCAAGCGUUAAUCGGAAUUACUGGGCGUAAAGCGCGCGUAGGUGGUUCGUUAAGUUGGAUGUGAAAGCCCCGGGCUCAACCUGGGAACUGCAUCCAAAACUGGCGAGCUAGAGUACGGUAGAGGGUGGUGGAAUUUCCUGUGUAGCGGUGAAAUGCGUAGAUAUAGGAAGGAACACCAGUGGCGAAGGCGACCACCUGGACUGAUACUGACACUGGGUGCGAAAAGCGUGGGGAGCAAAACAGGAUUUAGAUACCCCUGGUAGUCCACGCCGUAAAACGAUGUCAACUAGCCGUUGGGUUCCUUGAGAACUUAGUGGCGCAGCUAACGCAUUAAGUUGACCGCCUGGGGAGUACGGCCGCAAGGUUAAAACUCAAAUGAAUUGACGGGGUCAUAGCUGUUUCCUG
rnacentral:rRNA from 1 species